GAUGAACGCUGGCGGCGUGCCUAAUACAUGCAAGUCGAGCGAACGGACGAGAAGCUUGCUUCUCUGAUGUUAGCGGCGGACGGGUGAGUAACACGUGGAUAACCUACCUAUAAGACUGGGAUAACUUCGGAAAACCGGAGCUAAUACCGGAUAAUAUUUUGAACCGCAUGGUUCAAAAGUGAAAGACGGUCUUGCUGCCACUUAUAGAUGGAUCCGCGCUGCAUUAGCUAGUUGGUAAGGUAACGGCUUACCAAGGCAACGAUGCAUAGCCGACCUGAGAGGGUGAUCGGCCACACUGGAACUGAGACACGGUCCAGACUCCUACGGGAGGCAGCAGUAGGGAAUCUUCCGCAAUGGGCGAAAGCCUGACGGAGCAACGCCGCGUGAGUGAUGAAGGUCUUCGGAUCGUAAAACUCUGUUAUUAGGGAAGAACAUAUGUGUAAGUAACUGUGCACAUCUUGACGGUACCUAAUCAGAAAGCCACGGCUAACUACGUG
rnacentral:rRNA from 1 species